GUCUUCACUUUGGUAGUACUUAUACUAAAACUGGAACAAUAAAGACAUUAACAUGUCCCCUGUGCAAGGAUGACACGCAGAUUUGUGAAAUGUUUCAUAUUUUU
ensembl:snRNA U6 U6 spliceosomal RNA